rnacentral:rRNA from 1 species
GAUGAACGCUAGCGGCAGGCUUAAUACAUGCAAGUCGAGGGGGCAGCAAUGUCACCGGCGGACGGGUGCGUAACGCGUAUGAAACCUACCUUUAUCAGGGGGAUAGCCCGGGGAAACCCGGAUUAAUACCGCAUAAUAUAUUGAAUGGCAUCAUCUGAUAUUGAAAGAUUUAUUGGAUAGAGAUGGUCAUGCGUAGGAUU